CACCAAUAGUAUAAUAACUAAUAACUUUAAUUACAAAUUAAUUAUGGUUGGCAGUCCUAUACCAAAAGUGAAGCUCAUAAAUCGCUGGAAAUAUAAGGCUUCAUUUGAUCACCUUGGUUCUUUUUUUCCUUCCUUUCUUUUUUUAUGGCUAUUGUAAAAUACAAUGGCACUAUAACAGAAGGCAAUAAACAAAUGGAGCUUCAAUUUGCACAAAUAGAUUAUGAAACUUGCAGCACGGCUAUCUAUUUUCUAGUAAACUACGUAUUGUAUUGCUAAUUUGAAGGAUCUACAACCAGUUACAUCUGGCUAAACAAAUUCUAAUCAAAUCAGAUUCUUUUUUUUUUUUUUACCUAGUAUUUUUUUUUUCCUUGGGGAGGGGAGGGGAGGGGGGAAACAGAAUGAAAGAACUAUUCAGCUACCAUGUAAACGUAUAAUGAUUUGUAUACAUACUUCUGUAUUGUAUCCUUCCACACUCUAUAAAUUAUCGAGUAAGGUGUGUUGAAUACACUCUUCUACAAACCAUGUCUGUGCAACAACUAGCAUCUUGAAAGAAAAGCUCCCGUGUAAAACACUGCACAAGAUCUUCCUCCAAACUCUUGCAAAGCAUCUCCAACAAACAAAAGAAGCAAUAAAUUUGGAAAACUGUAUAGUAUUUACCACGCUGUGCUUUCUCUAACUGAACCCUCAACUGCCUCACACCAUUUUGUAGACCAUGAUAAUAAAUACAUAACUCAUCUUCAUUUGCCCAAGUAACAUCAUCCAACUUUAAUCUAGAAGAGAGCACUCCAUACAGCUCCAUCACCUUCACCACAUCUUCCAUGAACAAAUUUGAUCUUCUCCACUGAUUUGCAUAUUCCACUGCAGCUCCAGUCAAAAGAUGCAAUGCAUACAUUACCUGCCUGUGCCUUCCACUCACAAUCUGGUGGAGUUCCACAGCACAUGUUGCGUUCGUCAAUGUGCUCAACCUCAAGACCAAUAAACCAUGAUCCAAGUGACACAUCUUCAUUAGCAUACUUGUGCAAUAUGGGCUGGUUGAUUGAGAUAUAUGUGGCGAGAUCCUUUGAGAUUGCAUAUAUCUGUCCAGUUGCAUGUCGGAAAUAUUUGUUCCCUUCCUCUCCAAAUUUCCAAUACUCUGGUUCAUGAUAUCUA
rnacentral:misc_RNA from 1 species